AACGAUACGUAGAACUGCGGUGAGUUUUCCUUGUGAUCUAUUAUAUUGCAAUACACAGGUACUAUAUGUAGCAACUUGUUAUUGGUAAACACCAGCGCAUCUUAUUGUAUCGUCUUUCGAAUAUCAAACUGAAUAGCGAAAGAACACUGCCUCAGCACCUUUCGUUAAAAUCAUAGAAACGGUUUUUUAACCGACUUGGAAUUUGUUGGAAUAUGUUCAAAGCAAUAAUCUUUGAUCUUUUCCUGCUAGACGAAACAAAAAACCUUGCAACAAUGAGUCAAAUUCUUAGGAAAAAGCAGUUUUGAGUGAUAAUAUAAUUCCUUUCAAUGUUUUGUUUGUCUUGUAUACUCUUGGGAUGAAGGUUAAGAAACACCAAACAACUGAAAAGAUAGAGUUAAAAACUUAUCUUUGUUUUAUUUUAAUUUUGUCUUUAGAAAAUUGACAUCAUAGAUGAGUACAGGUUAGAAUUAAGUU